GGGGUUGUAGCUCAGGGUAGAGCACUUGCCUAGCACACAUGAAGCACUGGGUUCAAUGCCUAGCACCA
rnacentral:tRNA from 1 species